ensembl:lncRNA
CACUUAGAGGUGCCCCAGUAAAGCACAGCCCGGAAUGCCUGGCUAAUAAAGUGUCAGCAGCAGGGGGAUUACGAGGGAGAUUUACAAGAGUGCAUGAGUUUAGUUGCUGCUGGAGACAUCCGAUACACUCUGUGUUUGAUUCCAGGCUUUGAGACAGCAAUGAAAUAAGCCUGCAGACUUGUGUCAAAAAGCAUUUCAGGGGGAACACUUCUGCCUCGCGUACCUGCAGGAGUCCCAGCAGAUGCCUUGAUAUGGCAUUCAGCUUUCUCCUUUUCCCAGUCCCCCUCCUAAACGUGUAUGCAAUGGAGUAUAAACUACCGAGUUUGGGCCAGAAGUUGCCAGAGCUGUGGGGAGGAUUUGGAUCCAUCUUCUAGAAACGCGAUGUGGACAGGGACUGAUUGAAGGAGAUGACACAGACAACAACGAGGGCAAAGCCCCUGCUGUACAGACACUCAGACCACUCAUUUGCUGGGCUCCUGUGCCGUUGCCAAGCCUCACGCUUCCCCCAUGCAGCCUUGGGAGGCGUCUGUGCAGCCUGCUGCCCUGGAUGAUGCUGUUAACCACAGCUUGGGAACUGUCCCAGAGACUCUGCCGGUGCCUAGAUCUGCCCUUUGAUGUUCUGCAGCUUUCCAAGUCAAAGGGCAGUUUGGUCCAGAAAGCGGUGAAGAAAGAUGAAUACAGCCAAUGAACAUUUCCUCAAGCAGCAAAACGCACGAAGCCUGCUUGGUAAUUGGGUCUCAUAGCUGCUGCCUCUCAUAUCUGAGGUAGAAGCUGAUGGGAUAUUUGCAAUGUCGCACUCUCCUCUAGCUUCUCUAGUGUUUGUUAAGAGCUAAGCUCUGGUUACAGCCUUAGUGGGAUUUAACAAGAUCUCUCUCCCUUCUAUCCAGCCGUCUAUUUUUGUGAAAAUCACAGCAACCUGAUUAUUUCUGAGACCUCUGCCCCCUUGUCAAUUUUGAUUGGAGUUGGCCCAGGAGUUCAAAAGGCUGUAACAGUUUGAUCAUAUAAUCCUGGCUUCCUUAGGAAACCAAGCUAAGGAACAAACAAACAGAAGUCUUUACAGAAAUACUCCCUUGACAGCUGAGGAUUUUAUUUUUUAAUCAACACCCUGACUUCUAUGAUUAUUUUUACCUUCGCUUCCCACAAAGACCGUCUUACAGGACAGCCACCAAAUGGAGAAGUGGCAUCACAGCAACAUGACUGCAGGCAGGCUCACAUUAAGGUCCAACUAGUCUGCAACCAGUGGGAGCCAUGGGAAACCAGCAUGAGACCCAAGUAUCAUGCCAACAGCCCUUCUACACUUAAUGCAAAAGAUGAUGGCUUGCAGAGUGAUUAGUGGACAUGUUUAACUGGAGUAAAGAUCAGAGCUGAGCUGGUUGGUGGAUGGGUGUGCAGGGGGAGAGGAAUUCCCCAGAUGGAGCGUUCCCCCCAGCACCUCCACCCAGCUGAAACCCUGAGCCAGGAGCUGGGUGGGUGGGGACACCAGCUCCAACCUUGGAAGCCUGGCACCAGAGAUAAAGAACAGCGUCUCUCGAUGGUCCCAGCCGAAUUCCAGCCUAGUUUGGCAGGGUUGCUUAACCAAAAUAGCACAGGGAACCAUCUGAAUCACUAUGGGCUGCUAAUUCAAGCGCUGGGAGAUGAGCACAGCUCUGCCAAUCACAAGCUUUGCCACAUCCAACCUGACCGUGGAGCAGGAACACAGUGCUCAGACUCAUCCAGCAUCCACCUACCUCCACACUUCUCUCUACUGCUGUUCUUUCUUUGAGCACUGACAGCAGAUCUGUUGAAGGCACAGAUUUACAACCUAAUCUUAAGAAAAGGUAGCAGCUGCCAAUGUGGAAACUCUGGACUCUGAGCAUGCCUGGAUGGACCAAAGUAGUAUUUGUUUGUGUGUUAGUUGCAAAUUGGUUUUGCAUAUACCACUUUCAAAGCAGUUUCCUUCUUUCCUUUUUCUUCACCAUCACCUUCUUUUUUCUUCCUUUUUUAUUAUAUUUUUUAACACAGCUUCUCCCUCUGUAAGAGGUGUACAUUUAAUUAUAAAAAAAGCCUUUUUCGGUUGUAAUCUGUUUCCAGUUCAAUUCCUUUGCUGGAUAAAUCCCUUAAACGUGUUGUCAUUCCUUAUUUAUUGAUUGCAGGUAUUUGGGGUUUAAUUGAGCAAGUCGGUCGUGGCCCAGGGCAGGAGUGGCGCUACAUGAGCAAUUAAAUCUGAUUAGCCCGAGCCCUUUAAGCCCCAGCUGGGUGAUUGAUAACCGAGACCAACAUUCUUCAAUUGACUCGCUACAUCAAAAAGGAGAAAGGCUUAGAGGAGAAACGCAUGGGUCCAACAUGAAAAAUAGCAAAGGAGCCGGGCAAAUUAGACUUGCAAAGGAGCUGAGCUAACAGCGAGGGGAGAAGAGAGAACGGUCAGCCCACGAAACAAAUCCCUAAUGUCUCUUCCUUUAAAACUCAUUCGAGGAUUUUAUGUAUUCGUUUGUUUGUUCAUUUAUUUCAGAAGCUAAAACGACGCGGACUGGGGCCAGAAUGGGGAAAGGCGGCGGUGCUCUGGUUUUAACACCCUUCAGCCCUCGGAGCUGGGCUCCAUCCAUAAAGCUGUCGUCUGUUUGUUACUGUGUUUGUCUGCUCCGACAUUACACUUUUUGCCCGGUAGUUUAAGAAAAUAAACUAGCAGGAAGAACAGGAGUGAGUAACCCCCAUUUAUCAAGCUGAUGGAUGUCCCGUGUCUCCCUUCGGGGGGGCGGUGGCCGUCGGGGGGAGCGGAGCGGGUUGUCACUGCCCGCAGCAUCCCCUGCACCGCAGCCGGGGGAGGUGGCACUGCCGGGCGCUGCGGAGUAGGGCCGCAACGGGAAUGUGCAGUCGAGGAUGUGGGGUCGGGGAUGCUCCGAGGUUCGAUUCACCGCCCCGACAGCGGUCUCGCAGCGCUGCUCCCAGCUCCUGAGCCGGCCGCGACGGCGCAACGAUCGUUCUCCACUAAGAUGUAAUGAAUGAGCCCAAUGAAGCUUUCGGAGGCAGCUACGGAGAAACACCCACCCGCAGACACGCGGACGUGGAAGUCGCGUAGCUUUUCCUUUGGCAACAGGGGGUGCGGGCAGCUCCCGUUCCGCUGUGCGAGCCCUCGGGGAUCCGCGGUACGAGCCGGCACCGCCCGCCUCAUCCUAAAUUACAGCGAAGGCGACUGAUGAGAGAAAUCUAAGCGGGACGAGAGGGUGAAAUGUCGGAGGUGCGGGGGGGACAGCGCGGACCCCACGGACCUGCGCCCCGGGAUGGGGCGGGCGCCGCAGCCUCGACGGG